GUCUGUGGCCCUACCACUGUGAACACGCCUGAUCUCAUCUGAUCUCAGAAGUUAAGUAGGGUCAGGCCUGGGUAGUACUUGGACAGGAGGCUAACAGGGAAUACCACGUGCUGUAAGCU
rnacentral:rRNA from 1 species